UGGCGGACGGGUGAGUAACGCGUGGGUAACCUGCCCUGUACAGGGGGAUAACAGUUAGAAAUGACUGCUAACACCGCAUAAGCGCACGGUAAGGCAUCUUAGUGUGUGAAAAUAUUAAUAGGUACAGGAUGGGCCCGCGUCUGAUUAGCCAGUUGGCAGGGUAACGGCCUACCAAAGCGACGAUCAGUAGCCGGCUUGUUUUUAGAGAGUGAACGGCCACAUUGGGACUGAGACACGGCCCAAACUCCUACGGAAGGCAGCAG
rnacentral:rRNA from 1 species